rnacentral:rRNA from 1 species
AGUGAACGCUGGCGGUAGGCCUAACACAUGCAAGUCGAACGGCAGCACAGUAAGAGCUUGCUCUUACGGGUGGCGAGUGGCGGACGGGUGAGGAAUACAUCGGAAUCUACUUUUUCGUGGGGGAUAACGUAGGGAAACUUACGCUAAUACCGCAUACGACCUACGGGUGAAAGCAGGGGAUCUUCGGACCUUGCGCGAUUGAAUGAGCCGAUGUCGGAUUAGCUAGUUGGGGGGGUAAAGGCCCACGAAGGCGACGAUCCGUAGCUGGUCUGAGAGGUGGGUCAGCCACACGGGAACUUAAACACGGACCAGACUCCUGCGAGAGGCAGCAGUGGGGAAUAUUGGACAAUGGGCGCGAGCAUGGUCCAGCCAUACCGCGUGGGUGAAGAAGGCCUUCGGGUUGUAAAGCCCUUUUGUUGGGAAAGAAAAGCAGCAGGUUAAUACCCCGCUGUUCUGACGGUACCCAAAGAAUAAGCACCGGCUAACUUCGUG